rnacentral:rRNA from 1 species
UGGGGAAUUUUGGACAAUGGGCGCAAGCCUGAUCCAGCAAUGCCGCGUGAGUGAAGAAGGCUCUCGGGUCGUAAAACUCUGUCAGGUGGGAAAAAUUCUUCUUUGGCGAACAGUUAAAGAAGUUGAUGGUACCACCAGAGGAAGAGGCGGCUAACUCUGUGCCAGCAGCCGCGGUAAUACAGAGGCCUCAAGCGUUGUUCGGAAUUACUGGGCGUAAAGCGGGUGUAGGCGGUGGCGCAAGUCAGAUGUGAAAGUCCUAGGCUUAACCUGGGAAGGGCAUCCGAUACUGCGUCACUGGAGUUCGGUAGAGGAAGGCGGAAUUCCCGGUGUAGGGGUGAAAUCCGUAGAUAUCGGGAAGAACACCGAUGGCGAAAGCAGCCUUCUGGGCCGCAACUGACGCUGAGACCCGAAAGCAUGGGGAGCAAACA